UAUCCAUUCAUGCUCCCUACUGUCCU
rnacentral:piRNA from 1 species